rfam:Caminicella sporogenes DSM 14501 genome assembly, contig: EJ28DRAFT_scaffold00002.2
GGGGGCGUAUUGGUUUCGACGGGGGUACGAAACCACAAGUAGCGAGCCGUUGUUGCCAAGCAACGUAAAAAGUGGCAUUAAAAAUAAACGCAAACGAAAAUUACGCUUUAGCUGCCUAAUAUCGCAGCUCGUCCAGCCUAAGCGACCCGCAGCUUAGGAUUUGGGCGUCGGUUUAGCGGGGAACCGCUUUAAGGGGUGUCUCGACCUUAAAGUGAAUUAAUUGAGACUGGUCUUCAAGAUAGCCUGUCAUUGGGCGAUUUUGAAGGCGAGACAAAAAAACAAUGACUGCGCUCGGAGAAACUUGUGGGGAAGUACUUUCGGACAGGGGUUCGACUCCCCUCGCCUCCACCA